GCAUAAUUGUCCAUACAUUUGAAAAAGGAAACACAAAUGCAUUAUUCAUUAUAAAGUUUCAUGAAUCAGUAUUUUGACAGCUUCACUCAUUCUCUGAAGCAACUCUAAGUAUGAUUAUAGCGCGCACAAAUCCGCUGCUGGAUCAGGCUCCUACAAGAAGGACAUUCUUUCAUCCCUUGCUUCUCAUGAAGUUCGUUGCAUGUCGUGCAUACCACUUGAUGAGCACAUGGCAGAAAAACCACAGACAUCUCCUCGGACAAGCACAUGACACACUCGCGUUCUCGUUUCACCCCUCCAUCCUGAGAAUAUUCCUCAAAAUCUGUCACAAAUGUGGAGAUAUAAGGUAUUUGAGUGUCUUUUGGUAAUGGAGCAUUUCUAAAGUCGGUCAGUUUGCUUGCAUAGCUUCCAUCUAUGCCUCUUUUAAGAGCAGCUAUCUUUGAAGAAUCAGUCUUUAGUCUGAGCUGGGAUAUUUCCUUUUCUAGCCUUUCAAUAUCAUCUUUAUACUUUUGUAAACUACUUUCAGCUUUUAAUUUGGUCAUAUCCUCCUUGGAUUUGGCUGAAGUUUCAAUCUGUUCUCUCUCUUUCCUUAAUGAACUAGCCUGCCUAAGUAAAUCUUCCGUGGCAUUCUUUUCCUGCUUCCAUCUACCCUCGAGCUGGUUCAGAACAUCUUUAGCUUGCUCCAGUUGUUGUUGCAGUUCCACCAGCUUCCGUCUUUCAGCUGCCAGUUCAUCCUGUAAUAUAGCUUUCUGCUUCUCCCAUGACUGGAACUUCAUGAGUGUCUUAUUUUCCCUCUUUGAAACUUCCUGACAGCUUCCAGCUAACUCUGCUGCACGCAAUUUGGCAGCUUCCAUAUCCCUCUUUAGUAAAUCCUUCUCGAUCUCAAGCCUACGAACAGCAGCAUUAGCUCGUUCGAAUUGUCCCUUAGCCUUAAACAAGGCAUUCUCCAUCUCGGCUAGCUUUUUCAUGGUAUUUUCCUCCAAACUCUGCUUCUCUUUCUUCAGCCUCUCCACUUCUUCUUUUUCUUGCCGAAGUGUCUUAAGCUCAGCUUUGUCUUUACUCAGUCUACGAGCGGCUUGCAUAACCUUCUGAUUGGCCCAUUCUGUCCACUCUUGGAGCUGACCUUGCAAUUCGUGAACCCUUGGAACUAACUUUAGAAUCAUUUCAUCUUUCUUGUCUUGAGGAACCCAUUGAGCAAUAGAUUUUUCAUUAGGAAUCAUAUUAAAAGCACAAACACCGGCCCCAGCGUUAUAACUAAGAGGCAUUGGGGUCAUGUUGCUGGCAGGGAAUGAGAGUGAUAGCUCAGUAUCAGCAGCAGGCAGUGCAGGUGAAGUACUGACUUGCGGUGAUGAAGAAGGGAUAUUUGUAUUAGGUAAUGGAACAGGUCCAUUGCCAUUAUUGGACCCAAAAACUGAUGUUGAAGAAAAUCCAUUAUUUGUUGAGAUACUAUGGUGUACAUUAUCAUUUCUCCCGGCAACAGAGAUCUUGUUGACCUUCAAUGAAGCGUUCUUUAUAUUCAUGCCAGCAGAGUCUGCCAUGGACUUAAGUUUAUUAUCUAAUACUAAACCACUAAAACCAUUGAAUUUCCUACUGACCCCUUUUGAACCAUAAGUGCGGUAAUGUUUCUCCAGAUGUAGGGACUUUUGCCUAAGUAUAUACUCCCUUUUGGUGAUGCCAGAUACCUUUCUAGUACCCACAAACUCCUCCUCAACGAUUGGAGGAUUGGGUGCUCCUGUGGCCGUAAAGGUUUUAUCAACAGUGUCAAACAGAGAACUUGAAGAAUCUUUCUCUGGGAUAAUUCCAGUCAGAGCAAAUGAAGGCUUAGGUUUGAUCUCAUGGACUCCUGGCAUAUUGGAUGCCUCCAACUGAAAGCUAUGCCCAGAAAUAGCAGAAGAGACAUUGGAAGUAUCAGUCGAACAAUGUGCACAAGCAACUGAAGGAUUUGGCUUACAGGGAAUUCUAGUGAUGGAUUCAGAACUUUUGGCCUCGGAUUGCAAAUGAGGCUGCAGAGAAGCAGAGGAGUUUUCACUGCUGUCAACAACCAAACUACUCAAAGGAUCACUUUCCAUUGCACAAGCAUGAGAUACAUUCAUAUCACAUAUUAGCAAGCACCACAUUGCAUCACCAGU
rnacentral:misc_RNA from 1 species